rnacentral:ncRNA from 2 species
CUCUUAUCAAGAGAGGUGGAGGGAUGUGCCCGAUGAAGCCCGGCAACCGUCAGCAGUGAGAACACUUGUUGAAAAGGUGCCAAUUCACACAAAGCGGUGCGCUUUGGCAGAUGAGAG